rnacentral:tRNA from 1 species
AGCCCUGAGGUGUUAGACAUAUCAGAUUGCAAAUCUGAAGUAACGGGUUAAGUCCCGCCGGGGCUU